GUCAGGUGGGGAGUUUGGCU
rnacentral:misc_RNA from 1 species